rnacentral:rRNA from 1 species
AUUGCCUCAGUAACGGCGAGUGAAGCGGCAACAGCUCAAAUUUGAAAUCUGGCGGCCUCUGGGCCGUCCGAGUUGUAAUUUGAAGAGGAUGCUUUUGGCGAGGCGCCUUCCGAGUGCCCUGGAACGGGACGCCACAGAGGGUGAGAGCCCCGUAUGGUUGGACGCCGAGCCUCUGUAAAGCUCCUUCGACGAGUCGAGUAGUUUGGGAAUGCUGCUCAAAAUGGGAGGUAAACCCCUUCUAAAGCUAAAUACUGGCCAGAGACCGAUAGCGCACAAGUAGAGUGAUCGAAAGAUGAAAAGCACUUUGAAAAGAGAGUUAAAUAGCACGUGAAAUUGUUGAAAGGGAAGCGCUUGCGACCAGACUUGUGCCCGUCGAAUCAGCCGCCGCUCGCCGGCGGCGCACUUCGGCGGGCUCAGGCCAGCAUCAGUUCGCUGCAGGGGGAGAAAGGCGGCGGGAAUGUGGCUCUUCGGAGUGUUAUAGCCCGCCGCGCAAUACCCCUCGGCGGACUGAGGACCGCGCAUCUGCAAGGAUGCUGGCGUAAUGGUCGUCAGCGACCCGUCUUGAAACACGGACCAAGGAGUCGUCCUAAUAUGCGAGUGUUCGGGUGUAAAACCCCUGCGCGUAAUGAAAGUGAACGGAGGUGAGAGCUUCGGCGCAUCAUCGACCGAUCCUGAUGUUCUCGGAUGGAUUUGAGUAAGAGCAUAUUGGGCCGGACCCGAAAGAAGGUGAACUAUGCCUGUAUAGGGUAAAGCCAGAGGAAACUCUGGUGGAGGCUCGCAGCGGUUCUGACGUGCAAAUCGAUCGUCAAAUAUGGGCAUGGGGGCGAAAGACUAAUCGAACCUUCU